ACUCCCAUAAGCUGGCUACCUUAUCCAUUCGUGCUGCUUGGAUCUGGGUAGAUUCAUGAUCUAUGUCGGUGCUGCCCGAGCUAUGCUUGUACUAGAAGCCUGUAGCUGCGUUUGCGUGCCUAGCUGAUACCACGAUGGGAUCUGUUAAAAACAUUACUUGUGGGCUUGCUGUUGCUUGCAUUUCUCCUCUACAGGUUUCUAGUAACUUAGAUCGCUGAUGCGUCUUGUCCAACUGUGAAUGCUCACUCUUUGGAACCUUGAAAAAGGAUGAUUCUAUGAUUGUAGCUGUUGCAAACUCAGGGCAUGCACUUUCAGUAGGGAAAUGCAGGGUGAGUCUUACUAAUUAGGGAUGUUUGGUAGCUGUCACUACUGAGCCUAAUUUGACAUAUCGUGGAUUUUGAAUGAUGGCUAACAUGACCUCCACCGCAGGCAGUUAUGGGCUUAUGGCAUUCUAUCAAGGGUUUUUUGGAUACAUACCAUUACAAUUCUGCAAGUUUGGAGAAUUGCCACUACAAUUCAGUCAGACCCACCGCCUCUGAUUGAAGGAAGGACGAAGGAGGCGUGGGAGGCGUGGAGCAGAGAAGAACGCGGGGAAGAGGAGGACACAGAGCCGCGCAAGGAGAAGCCCCAGGAGGAGGACGCCGUCAAGCACCAGAAGGGGAACGUCGCCAUCAAGCCCGCACCGAACAACACCGCCGAGGAGGCACCACCCUGAGCGGGUGCCGCUGCACCGAGGCCGCCGUCGCGCCGAGAGAGGAAAGAGCCGCGGUGACCAGGAAGCAGAGGAGGAGGACGCGCCGAGGGAGCACCACCACGCCGGCGCCUGAACAUCUACAACGACGAACCUGUGCUGCGCUGCACGGCCACGCCCUCACCCGCGUCACCUCGCACGGCACCAAGCACUGCUCGUGUUCGGCCAGGCGACCAAAGCUGCUCGCGUGCGCGCUCCCCGCGCUCGGCCGGCCUGGCGGUGGCUUGCGCGUGUGGCCGCCAUGGCGCCGCCACUCGACUGCUGCACGCGCCCCCCAGGCCGACGGUCUCCGCGUGGCCCCAUGGCACAGUCGCUCGACUGCUCCCUACCCACAACCUAUCGCCGGACCAUUGUAAUGGCGAUGGGAUUGGACGGAUGGGACCGGAGCUCUUAACGCCAUAGACGAACUGGCGUCUAUACGCCCUCUGCAUACGCAUCCGCGUCUGACAAUGGGCCCAAAGCGGCUGGUAUACGUAGAAAAUGGCAAGAUUCAGGAAGUCCAAUAAUUGUAAUGGCAUGUUUCAGAAUACCUGAAUUGUAAUGGCAAUUCUCCAAACUUGCAGAAUUGUAAUGGUCUAUAUCCAAAAAACCCUUCUAUCAAAUAUAGCAGAAAUGACAACUUCAAUUAGCAAUAUAAA